UGCGCGCGCGGCCGGCCGCCUUGCGGGGACCGUCCCGAGCCCGGCCCUGCACCCGCCCACGCAGCGUCGGGACCCGGUGCGCCUAGCCAGGGGGCUGGGUUGGGGCGGAGCACGCUGGGCCGCGCCGACAGGCCUCGCAGAACUGCCUGCACCCUCUGGCUCCGAGCGAAAGCUAAGGCGCCGCCGCUGCUGGGACGCGCGGCACCUUUGUUUCCACCCGCCUCCUGAGAAGUUUGUGGUCAGAAGCAGCAGAAUGGCCCCGCUCGUCAGUGGCUCCAAUGCAGGGAAGCGGUUGGUUGCGAUGAUGGCGUUGUCGCCAGCGGCCGC
rnacentral:lncRNA from 1 species